rnacentral:rRNA from 1 species
CCGUGACAACCUGCCCUAUGACAUGGGAUAGCCUCGGGAAAACCGGGAUUUAAUACCGCAUAGAAUCGUAGAACACAUGUUUCAACGGUCAAAGAUUUGAUCGUCAUAGAUGGCCUCGCGUCUGAUGUAGCUAGUUGGUGAAGAUAGACAGCCCACCAAGGCCGACGAUCAGUAGCCGGUCUGAGAGGAUGAACGGCCACAUUGGAACUGAGACACGGUCCAAACUCCUACGGGAGGCAGCAGUGGGGAAUAUUGCACAAUGGGGGAAACCCUGAUGCAGCGACGCCGCGUGAACGAAGAAGGUAUUCGUAUCGUAAAGUUCUGUCCUAUGGGAAGAUAAUGACAGUACCAUAGAAGAAAGCUCCGGCUAAAUACGUGCCAGCAGCCGCGGUAAUACGUAUGGAGCGAGCGUUGUCCGGAAUUAUUGGGCGUAAAGGGUACGCAGGCGGUUUAAUAAGUCGAAUGUUAAAGAUCGGGGCUCAACCCCGUAAAGCAUUGGAAACUGAUAAACUUGAGUAGUGGAGAGGAAAGUGGAAUUCCUAGUGUAGUGGUGAAAUACGUAGAUAUUAGGAGGAAUACCAGUAGCGAAGGCGACUUUCUGGACACAAACUGACGCUGAGGUACGAAAGCGUGGGGAGCAAACAGGAUUAGGUACCCUGGUAGUCCACGCCGUACACGAUGAUGCUAGUGUUGGGGUCAAACCUCGGUGCCGAAGUUACACAUUAAGCAUUCCCC